AUGCCAUGGUGGGUACAUUUUCUAAGCAGCUCCUUGAAUCUUUCCCAAGCAUCAAAUAGGAACUCGUCCUAUCCUUGCCUAAACGAGGUUAUUUCAUUUCUCAUUUU